UGGGGAAUCUUGGACAAUGGGGGCAACCCUGAUCCAGCCAUGCCGCGUGAGUGAUGAAGGCCUUAGGGUCGUAAAGCUCUUUCGCCUGUGAAGAUAAUGACGGUAGCAGGUAAAGAAACCCCGGCUAACUCCGUGCCAGCAGCCGCGGUAAUACGGAGGGGGUUAGCGUUGUUCGGAAUUACUGGGCGUAAAGAGUUCGUAGGCGGACUAGCAAGUUAGAGGUGAAAUCCCAGGGCUCAACCUUGGAACUGCCUUUAAAACUGCUAGUCUAGAGACCGGAAGAGGUUAGGGGAAUACCUAGUGUAGAGGUGAAAUUCGUAGAUAUUAGGUGGAACACCAGUGGCGAAGGCGCCUAACUGGUCCGGUACUGACGCUGAGGAACGAAAGCGUGGGGAGCAAAC
rnacentral:rRNA from 1 species